rnacentral:misc_RNA from 1 species
UGCAUCUGCCUCUGUCUCU